AUUGAACGCUGGCGGCAUGCCUUACACAUGCAAGUCGAACGGCAGCACGGACUUCGGUCUGGUGGCGAGUGGCGAACGGGUGAGUAAUAUAUCGGAACAUACCUUGUAGUGGGGGAUAACUAUCCGAAAGGAUAGCUAAUACCGCAUACGAUCUAAGGAUGAAAGCGGGGAUCUUCGGACCUCGUGCUAUAAGAGUGGCCGAUAUCUGAUUAGCUAGUUGGUGAGGUAAAGGCUCACCAAGGCGACGAUCAGUAGCUGGUCUGAGAGGACGACCAGCCACACUGGAACUGAGACACGGUCCAGACUCCUACGGGAGGCAGCAGUGGGGAAUUUUGGACAAUAGGGGCAACCCUGAUCCAGCAAUGCCGCGUGAGUGAAGAAGGCCUUCGGGUUGUAAAGCUCUUUUGUCAGGGAAGAAACGGUUGUGGCUAAUAUCCAUGGCUAAUGACGGUACCUGAAGAAUAAGCACCGGCUAACUACGUGCCAGCCGCCGCGGUAAAAC
rnacentral:rRNA from 1 species